GUCUUAAUAGCUUAAAUUAAAGCGUUGCUUUUGUAAAUCAAAGACGGGAUAAACCCUUAAGACA
rnacentral:tRNA from 1 species